UUACAUGUACAUAUAGGAUAUACAUUGAAGAAUAGAAUCAGAUUUCUUUUCCCAAAUAUUCUUCUUCUAGAAGUCUGCUAUUCUCUCUUCUUCUUCGUUUGAGCUCAACUGCCGCAACAAUGGUAGCUUGAGAUUAGUUUCGAUCUCUCAAUUCUAACAUUAUCUGCAAUUAAACGUGGGACAUAUAAACUUUGAUAGGGCCAAGCAGUAUUAUAGUUCUAGGAAUAUGUUGCAUGUUAUUUAUUUUAUUAAGGACGGUGCAAUUUUUUUCUUUCACCAAACGCCUCAGAUUUUUUCAUCAUAUUCUUAAAAUAAAUAUUACUAGAUGUUGUAUUCAGUUUUGCUGGACUUAAUAAUGACGGGCUCCAAUUUACUUCCUUUGAGCUUUCAUAUUUAAGAAAAUUGACAUAGAAUAAAACAAGUUCUUAUCACCGAACAUAUUUACUUUCAUUGUGUAUGUGGUUUCAAAACUGUCCUACUCUACAUUUGGAAGAUCUUUGAACCCUACUACUUGUAUUAAAGGUUUUUGUAGGUUCCCCUAAUAAUAUCUAAGUUGAAAGAGAUAAAUUGAACUAAGUCACAAUAAAUGGAUAGCAUCUUCAAGGAUGACGAAUUUUCUAGGAAAGACAUGGCCUUCAGCAUUAAUAAUCCAUUUUGACUCUACAAAAACCUUACACUUAAAAAAGAAUUACAUAAACAUGCUCUUAAAGAGCUGUAAGACAACCAACGAUAUUAUUGUUAAAAGCCUAGUUCUCCAGAGUUCAAGAAUAUGAAAUGAAAUUAAACAAUAUCAAACAUAUAUUAAGCCCCCUUUUCGGGUCAAAAAGGGAAUAAAAUGAAGAAGGGCUGGAAAUGGGCUCAACUCAUCAAGGUUAGUAGAAAUAGCGUGUGGUAGCCACUAUUUAAGGUGAUAUUUAUUUUUUAUCCAGUAAUUUUAUUGUUGAACAAAAAUAAUUACUAUUCUAUUAAAAUUAAUAUAAAAAAAUAUUUUUAAACUUUCUUACAUUGCUUUUCUUCCCAAACACUCGCUUCUCUCUCUGAAGCUCGAUAACUAUUGUUGGAAUGAGAAGGAGGUGUCCCGUCUUUGUCAAAUUCUUCAACGGGAUCAUCAACCGUGACUUUUGGCAUUUUUUUCUGCACGAGUUUUUGAUUUUUGAUUAAG
rnacentral:lncRNA from 1 species